UGUAGCUCAGUGGUAGAGCACUUGCCUAGCAGGUAAGAGGUCCUGGGUUUGAGUCACAGUA
rnacentral:tRNA from 1 species